rnacentral:misc_RNA from 1 species
UUUUCUCUGCAUUUUCUCUGCUCAAAUUCUCUUCCAUUCACUGCACAAUUAAGAUCCAAACAAAAGGGUAAACGAUCUCGUCAUUCGUAUUGGUGCAGGUGGCGCAGCCAAAGCGCACUGGCCGCCUACCGCACCGAUAAAUUCGAUCACUUCUUCUAUUUCUCAUUCUCUACCUCCCCCACACACUCUCUCUCUCUCUCUCGCUCCCGAAAUGGCGCUCUUCACCAAACUCUACAGGUCGCCUUCCAUUGUCAGACCGCAUUAUCUCUUCCAUCGCCUCCGCUGUAUGAGCAAUGUCCCGGAAAACACCGUCUACGGAGGACCAAAGCCCCAGAACCCUAACCAGAGAGUCACUCUAACCCAUUUGAAGCAAAAGCACAAGAAGGGUGAGCCCAUAAGUGUUGUAACAGCAUACGACUAUCCCUCUGCGGUGCACCUCGACACAGCCGGCAUCGAUAUUUGUUUAGUCGGUGAUUCGGCCGCCAUGGUUGUUCACGGUUACGAUACCACUCUCCCUAUCUCCCUUGAGGAGAUGCUAGUCCAUUGCCGCGCUGUUGCUCGCGGCGCCAAAAGGCCACUUCUCGUUGGUGACUUGCCCUUUGGCACCUAUGAGUCCAGCAACAAUCAGGCAGUUGAUACGGCGGUUCGGGUUUUGAAGGAGGGAGGAAUGGACGCCAUUAAGUUGGAAGGAGGUUCACCCUCGAGAAUUACAGCUGCCAAAGCUAUAGUUGAGGCUGGAAUUGCAGUUAUGGGCCAUGUAGGACUCACUCCUCAGGCCAUCAGUGUUCUUGGGGGAUUCAGGCCUCAAGGGAAGAAUAUUUCCAGUGCUAUCAAGGUUGUGGAGACUGCAGUAGCUCUGCAGGAAGCAGGGUGUUUCUCUGUGGUUUUGGAGUGUGUACCUGCGCCUGUAGCUGCUGCAGCAACAUCUUCUCUUCGAAUUCCCACCAUUGGCAUUGGAGCAGGGCCGUUCUGCAGUGGCCAGGUGUUAGUUUACCAUGAUCUUCUGGGAAUGAUGCAACAUCCACAUCAUGCCAAAGUUAAUCCCGCAAUCACUUCCUGGUUUUGUUGAUUCUUUCCUACCUCUACAAUUUUCAAUAAGAGGAAUUGUUUUUACCUGGUAUAGGUUACUCCAAAAUUCUGUAAGCAGUAUGCACGUGUGGGAGAUGUCAUAAACAAAGCUCUACUUGAAUACAAGGAAGACGUAUCAAAUGGUUCAUUCCCUUGUCCUGCCUAUAGUCCAUAUAAAAUCAGUGCAGCAGAUAUAAAUGGUUUCGUGAAUGAACUACAAAAGCUAGGUUUGGACAAGGCAGCAUCAUCAGCUGCUGCAGCAGCUGAGAAGAUAAAAGCAGCUGAAUUAUUUGAUGUUGGAAGUCCAGCAAAUGACUGAAUAUGGACCAAUCUAGCAAAUCUGCCUUUUAUUAGUACCAGAAGAGCCCAAUAAUUCUUCAAUGCAUUUACAAAUGCUAGGCUAGAAAUGAUGUUAGUGCCUAGUUUUGAAAAUUCCCACGAUUUUUUUUUUCUCAUGUAUGAAAACUGAGUUACGUCAAGUAGUUUCCUGAAGUUAUACUUGCUAGUUAUGUCUAAACUGUGAAACCGAGCGUAUCAGAAAGUAAUGUCAACUUUUAUUGGGAAUCUUGCUCGCAUUAGCUAUGGGAAUGGGAUUGACAUCUCUUGCUCCUUAUCUUUUCAAUCUAUUUGAGCUUGAAGUAGAAAUUUUACGAAGGGAACCUGGCUGCGGGAUUAUUACAGUAGUUCAUUAUGGCUCCCAAAAGACCAAACAAACCUUCUUCAGACUUCACUCCUCAAGCCCAACCCAUGUUCCUGGGGGCAUAAAAUUAGCGCCUUUUUCCCUCCAGAAUGUAUAAAUUAGAAAGGAUCUUGUAACUGAUGCAGAAGCAGAAAGCCUCUGCUCUGCAUAAUCGCCAUCGUAAAGUUCUGCUUUUUAGAUAAGAUGCGCAUAACACUCUUAGCAUCAAAGCAUCCAAAACUCAUCCGCUUCUUCGAAUCCUGUACUAUCAUAUUCUCUUCUCUCCUUCUCCGUUGUCUCUCCACGGAAUCCACCACCCUACCUUCAGCACCACCACCACCACAACAAUAUGAUGACUCAAACGUAAAGCAAGCCGUGCAACUCCUCCAAAUCCCAGACCCUGAAUGGAACACGACGCAACUUAAUCACCUCCUCUUCUCCAAUCCUGCCCCUUCUUCUCACCUUCUCUUCCAGAUCGCCCGCCGGUUGCCGUCCUCUUCACAAGCCCUCAAAUUCCUUGAAUUUCUCCAAGACAAUUCCCCAUUACCAGAUACCCAAUUCCUCUCCUCUACAUUCCAGACCAUCUUUGGCUCGCUAGUUGUGAACCUGAUUCCCGCUCGAGUUUAUAUGAGCUUUAUAAGACGUCUAAAGAAUGGAAUAUUCCACUUACUAUCAAUUCCGCGAUACUUAUACUCCGCUGUUUUGGGAGAAAUGGUUUAGUGGAGGAGUCUAUCAUACUGUUCGAUAAACUUGAGACUCUCUUUUAAGAACACGCAAGUUCGUAAUGUUUUCAUCAAACUGCUCCAAAAAGCUGGGCUUGUUGACAAUGCAUUUAAGGUGCUCGAUGAAAUGCUUCGACCAGAGUUUGAUUAUCGUCCGGAUGAUGUUACUGGUGAUAUUAUUUUCUCUUGGUUGAUGAAGAGAGAACGUUUAGGGAGGAUUGUUACACAAGAGGAGAUUUUGGAUUGGUGUUGAAAUUCGGUGAAUUUGUUGUUUUUCAUAAUUCAAUUUGGAUAACUCGGAUGAUUGCUGUGCUGUGUAGGAAUGGAAGGACUAUUAAAGCUUGUGAUCUUUUUCUUGACUUAAUGACUCUGGGAGCUGCUUUGUAGGUGGCUCCUUGCAAUGCAUUAUUGAUAGGGUUGGGGAGGGAUAGGAAGUUUAAUUGAAUGAAUGUAGAUAUGGAAAAGACGAAGGAAAUGGAUAUUGAGCCAGAUGUUUAUCACCGUUGGGAUUCUUAUUGAUCACCUGUGCAAGUUUAGGAGAAUUGAUGAGGCGCUGGAGGUGUUUCAAAGGAUGAAUGAAAGUCAAGAGGGGGAUGGGGUUUCAGUUCAACCUGAUGUUGUUAUUUUUAACACAUUGAUUGAUGGGCUUUGUAAAGUUGGGAGGCAAGAAGAAGGUUUGGGUUUGCUGGAAAGGAUGAAAUUGCAAAAGGAGUGUGCUCCUAAUACUGUUACCUAUAAUUGUUUGAUUGAUGGAUUUUGUAAAGCUGGUGAAAUAGAGAGGGGCCUGGAGUUGUUUGAUGAGAUGAACAAAGAGGGGAUUGUACCAAAUGCAGUCACUGUUAAUACUUUGGUGGAUGGUAUGUGCAGAAAUGGGAGAGCCAAUAGUGCAGUUAAGUUUUUGGAUGAGAUGCAGAGGAAAGGUUUAAAAGGCGACGUUUUUGCUUAUACUUCUUUAAUCAAUGCUUUUUGCAAUGUGAACAACAUCAGGAUGGCAAUGGAAAUUUUUGAUCAAAAGUUGAGAGAGGGAUGCUUUCCAGAUGCAAUAGCUUACUAUAAUUUGAUCUCUGGCUUGACCCAAGCUGGAAGGAUGGAUGACGCCUCUUCUAUUUUGUCAAAGUUGAAAGAAGCUGGGUUUCAUCCCGACAUUGUGUGCUACAAUCAAAUGAUUAGUGGGUUUUGCAACAAGAACAGGAUGGAUAAAGUUAAAGAGAUGCUUAACGAUAUGGUAAAAUCAGGAGUAAGCCCUGACAGCAUCACAUAUAACACUUUGAUUUCUUAUUGCAGCAAAAUUGGAGAUUUUAAAAUUGCUCACAAAAUGUUGAGAAAGAUGACCGAGGAUGGUCUAUCACCUACAGUUGUCACAUACGGUGCUCUAAUUCAUGCAUAUUGCUUAAAUGGCAAUGUUGAUGAAGCAAUGAAGAUUUUCAGAAGCAUGGGUUCUACUGCAAAGGUAGCACCCAAUACUGUGGUAUACAAUAUCUUGAUAGAUUCCUUGUGCCAGAAUAAUAAUGUAGAACUUGCUCUUGAACUAAUGGAUGAUAUGAAAGUUAAGGGCAUUAGACCAACUACUACAACAUAUAAUGCCAUGUUCAAAGGUCUUCGGGAGAAGAAAUGGCUGAAGCAAACCUUUGAAUUAAUGGAUAGAAUGAUCGAGCAGGCUUGUAAUCCUGAUUAUAUCACCAUGGAGAUACUGACAGAAUGGCUGUCUGCUGUUGGUGAAACAGAGAAGUUAAAAAACUUUGCUCAAGGACACAAGGCUUCAGCUUCUCCAUCAUAUAUUGGCGAUUUGCUGCCCUGACAAUUUGAAUUCAUUCAAGAAGGACCAGAUACUACAGUUUGAUGUUCAUAUAGUGUCUCUGUUUAGAUUUGCUAUGGCUGUGGGUGUUCUUUCAAGCGGAACUUGCUCUUAGAACCUCCGUUCUCGAAGAUGUAUCCACAUGUGCAUUUGCAAUUGCAUGCAAACCAUUGUGGAUUCAACCCCCCUCAUUUUGAAGGAUGGAAAAAGGAGAUGGACAAAAUCAACAAUGCUAAAUUAAUCAUAGUUUGAUUCGUGCUUGUUGUAAGUUAUAUGCUGUUGAAUCGUCAGACAUUGAAUACCUUGGUAGCAAAAUCAAUUCUAGAGUUAUAAUGAGCUUUAAACAUAGCCAAGUUCCUUGGCUUGACUGGGCAAAUGAUUUGCGAGAUUGAACUUGUACCGAAAUUUCUUUUAUCGUAAAUAGUUUCACUUUUUUUUUUUAAAA